GAAAACUGCUUAUCGGCGGACUGGGCUGUAUUCGUCUUUCGCUGGAGGAACUGCUCGGUGGUCAGCUCUGCGUGUCCGACUAUUUGGUGGGUUUUCACUGACUCCUUUACAUCAAUGUGGAAAUGUUUCACAUUGUCAUAUUAGCUUCCACAAAUGAAGUGGAAGUUGUUCCAGCAAAUUGGUUUAAAAAAAAACACCUGUCUGUGGCCACCAUACAAAUGGGAUGAUGUUGUAAAAGCAGUAAGAUCACAGGAACAACCUGGAACACGUUGGAUUCCGUACAAACUACUUAUGAGGAAGCGAGGGUCAAACUGCCAGAGCCUGAAAGAUUCACGGAUUUGACUGAUUCAGAAACCAGCCACAGAGACACAAACGGAGAACAAUGAAGAGGUGUCACAUUCAAGAUGAUGCGGAUAGUGAAGAUGAGACGUCGGGAGCAUCUACUUUACCUAGACCUCCAGAAAUGGCCACUGCAAAGAAGCUGUCACCCUCAAUCCUACAAUGGCGGGCGGAUGGACAGACAAACGGACAAAGAAACCCCAACGAUUACUUUACCUCUGCUGGCGGAGCGGGCAAAGUUUUACAUCAGAAGAUGACAAGAAUGCAGUAAGAAGAAAUCCAUUGACAGCCACAGCUACAGACCAGGAUAUUGAGCAGUGGAUUCGAAGGUGGCUCCAUGUUGCUGGGGACAGAGAAGGAGGACGCCGAGCCAGGCAGCGGCCUGAGUAAACUGACUGUUCUGCCCAAAGAAUUUCUGAUGUUACUUGUUGUAGUAGUAGUUCUUGUUUUAAAUGUUUA